UACGUAGGGGGCAAGCGUUGUCCGGAUUUAUUGGGCGUAAAAGGCUUGUAGGUGGCCACGCCAAGUCGGAUGUGAAAUCUCCCGGCUCAACUGGGAGGGGUCAUUCGAUACUGGCGGGCUCGAGGCCGGUAGGGGGAAGUGGAAUUCCCGGUGUAGUGGUGGAAUGCGUAGAUAUCGGGAGGAACACCAGUGGCGAAGGCGGCUUCCUGGACCGGUUC
rnacentral:rRNA from 1 species